GGACUACAGGGGUUUCUAAUCCUGUUUGCUCCCCACGCUUUCGCGCCUCAGCGUCAGUAAAGGACCAGGUCGCCGCCUUCGCCACCGGUGUUCUUCCCAAUAUCUACGAAUUUCACCUCUACACUGGGAAUUCCACGACCCUCUUCCUCACUCAAGUCUCGAUGUAUCAAGCGCAGCCCCCAGGUUAAGCCCGGGAAUUUCACGCCUGACUGUCGAAACCGCCUACGCGCCCUUUACGCCCAGUCAAUCCGAGCAACGCUAGCCCCCUUCGUAUUACCGCGGCUGCUGGCAC
rnacentral:rRNA from 1 species